AGACUCUGAUGCGUACGCGUGCGCACCGGAAGAGCGCCGCCGCAGCCGCACCAACAACAACAUUCUGGAGCGAAAUGGCGUAGCGCGCCAUCCACCGUCACAGCGCAACGGGGCCAGGCUCACCGAGUCUCCGAGUCUCCGAGCCUCCGAGCCUCCGAGCCUGGCCGGCCGUUCUCCCGUCAAUAAGAAAGCUGAUAAUGCCUUUGGGACACCGUUACAGUUUUCCUUCUUCCAGGCCCGCACCAGAUGAGGAGAAACGUACCCCUCCUAUUCCAUUUCAAGAAGUGAAAAUGUCACAACAUGUUUAAUCUGAACAUAAGAACAUGACGAACUCAUGACCAGAUAAGAGAUCAUGCUGUCGUGGUUCUUUAAACUACCUUCUAUCCAUCCUGAUUCUCUGCCCUUCCUUCAGCAUUAUGUCAGGGAAGUGUUCAGUCAACACACCAAAUGUCAUUGGUCUAUGAAUAUAUAAUCUCUGCACUUUGAAGAAUUCUGAUAUUAACGAGAGAAUCUAAAGAAAACAUAUGUGUCCAAACAAGUCCAUAAUUGUGCCACAGUCUGCCCCAGAGCAAUUAUCUGGUCAUUUUUGGUAUUUAACAAAUCAAUGUUAAUCCAAUAAAGUAUUUAUAUGGUUGCAGGUUGUGUUAGCAGGAAGUGAAAAUGGAGUUAGGGACAGAGAAUAUAUAGAGAGCACUUGCUUUGCAGGUACAAUGUUUGUAUGUUAAAAAGCCAAAUCAUGGACGCAACCUGCAUUUCAGCUGAAGUAGCUUCACCCAACUGUUUUAGUUCCUGCAGAUUAAGUGCCUAGACAUUGUUGUGUCUCGAGAGUCUAUUGCUAUGUCUUUGCACUAACCCCUAAGCACUGCUUGGUCAUUUUGUCUUUGAAAUCGACAGUAAACUGUAGACAAAUAGCUGUUCUCCUAAUUCAGAACUCAUAAUGGUGCUUCAGCAAAAUCACGAACCAUAGUUUCAUGUACUUUAUGAACUUUUCAUGUACUGACAAACCAAGACAGACAGGCUCGCUGACAUAACACAAGCAUACUUUAUAAAAUCCACCAUUUACCUUUCUAUUGGGGGUGAGAUGCUAAUAAGAUGCAAGAGAUGAUGAAAUAAAGAUAUUUAACUACCUCAGAUGAGUAAAGUUACCACAGCUCAGAUCCACACAGCAAGCAAUCUAAUAUUCAGAAAGUUCACAUGUUUUUCUAGCUAUAUUACAUAAAAAUACCAGUUCUUGUAUGUCUAAUGGUUUGGUAAUCUGAUGCCCGUAGACCUUAUUCACGCUAGCGCCAUCUUUGAUUUUUAAUGGGUAUGACAACGAGGCUGUAAGGGAUAGACUCACUGUCACUUCAAUGGCACGAAUGGUAUAAAGCUCCUAGAUCAGAUUUCCACAACUCAUGUUGUCUGGAGUUCUUUGUAUACUGAAUGUUCUUGGACAGAUAUUUAUAGUCCAAAAACACUUUAAACUGCAGUACAGCCCAUUGAAGAGACUGUAAGUCUAUCCCGCACAGCCUUCUUGUCAUUCCCAUUAAAAAUUAAAGAUGGCGCUAGCGUGAACAAGGUCUUUUUGUGUGAGUUUUUUAUUUUUUUAUUUGUAAUUUAUUUUUGUGUUAAUGGUUUUACAUAUCACACUAACAGCAUAGAUACCUUAUUGAUCACUGGUUGAAUAUUUGUCCUGGGUUACAGUGUGGGUAAGCAUUGCAAAACAGACAUGUUUCCCAUUUUCAUCCAAAUGGUAACGUACGUGAGUUUAUCAUCCUCAGUGCAUAACAUAAGGCCUGAUGAAAGGGAGUUGAACAGUUAGAUAAUAGUCACAAUGUGUUACAAUAAAGAUGCACGUCUUAAAUCAGACACCUUAAAAAGAAUAAGGGUCUGUUCAAACUGAUUAUGCUGUUUUUAAUUGUUUUUCUGUGUAAAACAAAGAAGGAUGUCUGUGACAGGAGUGCCAUGUUUUUAGAUGCCAUGACAAGUCAAAAAGAACUUCAACUUUUGUCUCGGGACACAUAAGUUCUGUCCUAUUUGUUGCAUUGCAUGCACAAAGCCCCUAAAAUGGUCUUUGGGUAUUUGACUCAGAUUAGAUUGUGCCUGGGCUACAGUGCACUGUCAAACAUAAUUCUGCACUGAAAGACAUUUAAGCCCAGGACAUGAUGUGAUCGGUGCUGUAAAAAUGCGCCCAAAUGUUUUCCUAAUUAAUAUUUAGUUGUACAGUUGCUUCUAUCAAUGAAUGAUUGGAUCCCAUUAUAUGAGAUGACUCUGAGGGUGAUUCUUCGUUUAUUUCCUUCUUGUUUUGAGAUGAAUAUGUAUAUUGUACAAACAAGUGACAAGUUGUUCGCAAAAACAACAAAAUCACCAAUGUCUUCCAUUAAAUGAUGUAUAGUUUCAUCUGCUUACUUUAGGAUGGCGGGAUUUGUAGUGCCAGCAUUAAACAUGGCCAUGCAUGUACGGUAGCGAUGCUUGCUGAAUUUAAUAGUAGUGACAUUCAAUAUAUGCUAUAAAGCUGUUUAGAAAACAAAUAAGACAAAGAUUUAGUUAGCAUCCACCACAGAUGCAGCAUCCAUACCUGAUCGAUUUGAGAGGUCAAGGUUUGUUCGAGGGAAGUUCUUUUUUAUUUUCUGUUUAGUGAAGACAGUUGUAUUCUUUGGGUAAUCACCAUUAGUUAAUAAUAACAUCAUGUAGCAUCUUGAGAAAAAUUGUGGUUGGUAUUAACAUGCAGCUAGCCAUGCUGUAAUACAUUUUUAUGUUUUUUUAUGUCACAAGCACUGUGAGUUUGUCCUAGUCUGAACUGUGCAAAAUUAAGUUCUGGGCCCAAAAUGGUAGACUCAACUCAAAACGCUUAAACUCACCCUCAUGUUGUUCCAUACUUGUAUGACUUUAUAUCUUCAGUAGAGCACAAAGUAGAUGAAUGUUAGCCUCAGCCAGCAUUCAAUUUAUUUGCAUUUUAUUCCUUACAAUGAAAGUGAAUGGUGGCUGAAACUAACAUUCUGCCUACAACAGUCAUAAAGGUUGGGAACAAUAAUUAGGGCAAAUAAAUGAUUUAUAUUAGUCUUUUUUUUAGAUAAAAACUGUUCCCAGUAGAAAAUAUUACAGUUAUAGUAUAGAAAAUCUACCUAUGAUACCAAUGGUAAUCAUUUUUUAUGGAAACAAAGUUUUAACUUUUUACAAUCUUUUGCUAAAACAAGACAUACUGAUAGGAUUUGAGCUGACAGUGUAGUAACCAGACACAUAAGCGAAUACAGUACUCUCCUUCUGAUGAGAAAAAUAACUAAGAACUGUGUUUGUAGAACUUAUCUCAUACCUCUAAUAUGGAAUUCUCCAUCAUCGGGUAAUGUUGUCUCAAACUAGAGCUGUAGAAUAUGCAAAGUAGCAGAAACUCUAGAUUUUAAAGUAAAAUGUAGGAUAGUAAAUGGCAUGAUGCAAUUAUCAAAGCAUUGUAAUGUAGAUAAAUACCUCAAUGACUGGAAUGCAAACUAUAUUUUAAAUAUACUCCGAGAUAUGCAAGCCAUAAUGUGUAUUAAGUUCAUCAUUUAGGAGCAAUAAUCAUUUUAUGCAUGAAUUAUAGUGUCAGAAUAGUUCAGUGGUGUUUGUGAAAUAGAUAUCUGUGGCAUAUUUGUGACUGUGGUAAGUGUUUGAAACAGAACAUUACAUUGCUCAUACUGAACUAUUUACAGUACACCUCUGAGUUGAGAAGAUGUGAACUGGCUGUUAACAGCCUCAUUUCAUUACUCACUGACACCAAAUUAAGUUGCGAAGGUAGCACUAAAUGUCUUCGAAUAUACAUUUUUAAAAAUACCUUUUUAUUUUGAACUGGUGAGAAAAUAAAUGGAAAAUAUAUUUAUAUGCAAGGCCCAUGCCCUUUUAUUGGCUUUGGAUGGCAACAUACAAACCAUUGUGGAAUGCACAUAAACUGUAAGAUUAUCUGCAGUUUAUUUUCAUUAAAAGCAAUAUAAGCAGCAAAAUGCCGUUUGUGACACUCAUUAAAUUUUUUCCAUGAAUCCUAAUUAAACAGGACACCACAACACAUUUACAAAAUUGAGAGGAUUGUAGUGGAAUGCAUUGUGAAACUGUAUGUUUUUUCAUAGGAGUGCAAAAACAUUCGCUAAUGCAUGGUGGAUAAGAAAUGUUUUGUGCUGCAUGCAAGAAUUAUGCUUUGCUUAAACAUAUUUAUGCAGAAAUGUGAUGAACAAAAAUCCUUGAGUGGGCCAUUGUUGUGAUUUCAUUUUCAAAUGCAUGAAAUCCCAAAGGUUAAGUUUUGCUGUAAAUUAUUUACAGAUAAAUAUAUUACUUAAUUACUUCUUAUAUGGUUUUGAAUAUUGUAUGAUGAAAAUUUAAUUGUAAUGACUAUGAAGAGGCAAAGUCAGAUUCAGAAAUUUUAGCAAAGCCUGAUAAUUGGAAUUGGGAUUGUUUUAACUGAAAAAUAUAGAAAUAUAAUUUGGGUAGUUCUGAUUCAUGUUCACUGCAAAUGAUACAAACAAAAAACAAAGGUUUUACAGUGUGUGCUUUGUGGGCCUGUUGUGAUUUGUGUUGCCGAUUUUGCCUCUGAAUGUGAAACUCUAUUCUUGGUCUGAUCUAUGCACUACAAAUGCGUCCCGCAUGAUUUUGUACAAUACAAAUGUCUGUAUCAAAGUUUUAGCAAUAAAAAAAGCAGCAUGGU